AGUGAACGCUGGCGGUAGGCCUAACACAUGCAAGUCGAACGGCAGCACAGUAAGAGCUUGCUCUUACGGGUGGCGAGUGGCGGACGGGUGAGGAAUACAUCGGAAUCUACUUUUUCGUGGGGGAUAACGUAGGGAAACUUACGCUAAUACCGCAUACGACCUACGGGUGAAAGCAGGGGAUCUUCGGACCUUGCGCGAUUGAAUGAGCGGAUGUUGGAUUAGCUAGUUGGCGGGGUAAAGGCCCACCAAGGCGAGGAUCCGUAGCUGGUCUGAGAGGAGGAUCAGCCACACUGGAACUGAGACACGGUCCAGACUCCUACGGGAGGCAGCAGUGGGGAAUAUUGGACAAUGGGCGCAAGCCUGAUCCAGCCAUACCGCGUGGGUGAAGAAGGCCUUCGGGUUGUAAAGCCCUUUUGUUGGGAAAGAAAAGCAGCAGGUUAAUACCCCGCUGUUCUGACGGUACCCAAAGAAUAAGCACCGGCUAACUUCGUG
rnacentral:rRNA from 1 species